AUAAUAUAAGAUUUGACCUGCCCGCUGAGUUAUUGAAUGGCCGCGGUAUUUUGACCGUGCAAAGGUAGCAUAAUAAUUAGUUUUUUGAUUGAAAGCUGGAAUGAAUGGUUGGACGAAAAAGUCACUGUCUCUGAUUAAUUUUAUAUAAAAUUUUAUUUUUAAGUUAAAAAGCUUAAAUUUGAAUAGAAGACGAGAAGACCCUAUAGAGUUUUAUAUUUUAUAUUAGGUUUAAUUUUAGGAAUUUUAAUUUUACCUUUUUUAUAAUAUUUUAUUGGGGUGAUAAAAAGAUAAAGAUAACUCUUUUUUUAUUUUUACAUUUAUAUAUGAUAAUUUGGUCCAUUAUUUAUGAUUACAAGAAAAAAUUACCUUAGGGAUAACAGCGUAAUCUUUUUAGAGAGUUCUUAUCGAAACAAGGGAUUGCGACCUCGAUGUUGGAUUAAAGUUAAUUUUUGGUGUAGAAGCUGAGAUAUUGAGUCUGUUCGACUUUUAAAACUUUACAUGAUCUGAGUUUAAACCGGUGUGAGCCAGGUUGGUUUCUAUCUUUAUUAAGAUAAAAUAUUUUAGUACGAAAGGACCAA
rnacentral:rRNA from 1 species